CGAUGAGGAAGUUAAGUAGCUUACCCUGGGCCAGACAGCUAAGUGGCAGAAUCGGGAUUCAGAAUUACUCUGGAGUCCACAUGCCAGUUCGGAAAGGACUGGCAGCCACAUCUGAGUAGGUUUCCUUUACUGAUUUGAAGUCAAGGGCACAGAAAAGAUUACUCAACCCUUGGUACCCUGGUUCCAAGACAUCCAGGGACCUGGAGUCUCAGCUUCCGGUUAUCACUCUGCGUAUCCAAGAGUCAGGGUCACGUCUUACCUGCCCUCCUCCUUGGGCCAUGUCUGCGGAGCCCCCAAACAGCGGGCAAUAAUGGGAAAGCUGGCAUCAAGCAGCAGCCGUUCUCUUUACGGGACACAGAAAUGACCCCUUGUUAUCUUUGACUCCACGGCUGCUGUAAUAUUAUUCGGUUAGCCCUAGUUACAGACUGGAUUUUGUGGUGUGUGAGGAAAGCUACACGGCUUCUCAGCAUUAGCUCUUGACCUGGCAAAAGGAGAAGGAUUGUAUUGUGGACAACACCUUUUUUCUGACCCUAAACCGUGUUCUGGCACCAAGAGAAGCACUCUAGAAUCUGAGUUCUUUCUGUGAGCUGCUGCCUAAAUUCAGAGUCCUAGAGAAGACUAUUAAUGAUGGUACACAGAAGACAGAGAGAGAUAAACUGCAUCAGUUUCUUUAUGUGCAGGAGGACCUACAUGAUCUUAGAAGAGAACCGACCUUUUAAAACCUCAUUUCAACCUCAACGUAUGACCUCAGAGAAACUCAUUUGCUCUCUGGAAAGUUUUUAAGAUUUACAACAGAGGAAAAAAAAUCCUUCAGCUUGGGCAAGUUCUGAUGCAACAUAAAAGUAAUGCUGUUAAAAUUUCAAUCAUUGCCAUGGUUUAGCAGUGUGUUCACAUCAACCACAUGUACCCAGAAAGUCUGUCAACUCAGCAAUAACCAAGAAUUCUGCUUAUUACUCUCACUACAAAAAUCCAUGAAUUAAAUUAUAACUGUUUGCAUUUGAACGUGUGUAAUCACAUUUUUACAUUAUGCUCUUUUAAAAGAACCGUUUAUCUUGUGCUUGUUUCACAAACUUAAAAAUCAAGGAUUCUUUCUUUAUGGGCUGAUGGAAAUAUUCUAAAGUCAGACUGUGGUGAUAUUUCACAACUUUUUAAAUUUAUAAAAAUCAUCGAAUUGUACACUUAAAAUGAGGCAAUUUUGUGGGAUGCAAAUUAUGAAUCAAUAAAGCUGC
rnacentral:lncRNA from 1 species